GCUGGAGGUAUCAGAAGUGCGAAUGCUGACAUAAGUAACGAUAAAGCGGGUGAAAAGCCCGCUCGCCGGAAGACCAAGGGUUCCUGUCCAACGUUAAUCGGGGCAGGGUGAGUCGACCCCUAAGGCGAGGCCGAAAGGCGUAGUCGAUGGGAAACGGGUUAAUAUUCCCGUACUUGGUGUUACUGCGAAGGGGGGACGGAGAAGGCUAUGUUGGCCGGGCGACGGUU
rnacentral:rRNA from 2 species